GGAUCCAGACUUUGCAUCAUGGCCUACAAGGAUAGAACGCGUGGCGGCAUGCCUAAGACCAUGCAAGUCGUACGAAGGGGCCCAAUGAAAGGAAUUGAAAUUCAGAGUGCUUGCACAAAGAAUGGAUUUUCUUGGAUUUGGAUUUUCCCCUUAGUGGCAAACGGGUGAGUAACACGUGGGUUACCUACCUCUAAGAUGGGGAUAACAGUUGGAAACGACUGAUAAUACCGAAUGUGCUCUACGGAGUAAAGAAGCCCUUAAAGCUUCGCUUAGAGAUGGGCCUGCGGCGUAUUAGCUAGUUGGUGGGGUAAUGGCCUACCAAGGGCGACGAUGCGUAGCCGAACUGAGAGGUUGAUCGGCCACACUGGGACUGAGACGCGGCCCAGACUCCUACGGGAGACAGCAGUUAGGAAUAUUCGUCAAUGGAGGAAACUCUGAACGAGCAAUGCCGCGUGAACGAUGACGGCCCUAUGGGUUGUAAAGUUCUGUUGUUUGGAAAGAACGAUAGAUAGAGGAAAUGCUAUCUAUGUGACGGUACCAUUCAAGAAAGCCACGGCUAACUACGUGCCAGCAGCCGCGGUAAUACGUAGGUGGCGAGCGUUAUCCGGAUUUAUUGGGCGUAAAGGGUGCGCAGACGGUUUAUUAAGUCUAAAAUCAAAUCUUGGGGCUCAACCCCAUUCCGUUUUAGAAACUGGUAGACUUGAGUAUGGUAGAGGCAAAUGGAAUUCCUAGUGUAGCGGUGGAAUGCGUAGAUAUUAGGGAGGGAACACCCAGUGGCGAAGGCGAUUUGCUGGGCCAUUACUGACGUUCAGGCACGAAAGCGUGGGGAGCAAAUAGGAUUA
rnacentral:rRNA from 1 species